AGUUCUGUUGUACGCCUUCCAUUUAUUCUCUCUGCCCACUGCCUCAUUUAAUUCCUUUGUCGCUGUUGUUCACUAGAUUCAUCUCACCAUUGGAUUUGGAACUGCCGCCGAUGCUGACCGCACCGCUGCUUCCGCCUUGGAUUUGUGGCUUCGCCGCUGCGGUGCGCCUUGGCUGGGUUUAUCAUGGUGUUAGUUCUGCUCUGGACAGGCCGAAUUUGAGGGACUUUGAUUCAUUUGAACUGACGCCCAUGCUCGCAUUUUCUGGGUUAGAAUUGAAUUGAUGUUUUUUAUGCAUGUGUUUUUUUACUGUUAUGGAGUUGUCAAUCCCCAUUGAGAAAUGGCUGUUGAAAUGGUGUCUGGGCUUCCACACGUAAUGUGCAAGGAACAUGAUGCGUCAGUGUGAGAAUAGCAGCUAGAGCAUGAAAACACUUAAUUUUGGUAGUACCUGCUGGAAUUACUUCAGAAUCAGCUGCAACCACUGAGUAGCUUACAAGGUUUCGAACAACAUAUGGGAGGUGAAAGUUCUAAACCAAUGGGAAUCUAAUUUUACAUCUCAAAAAGUGAAUAGGACAUUGUAUAAGAAGCGGGAGAGGGACCUGCCUUGGUGAAAAAGCAGGAGCUUGAAGCUGCUAAGAAGAAAAGAGAGCCAAGAGUCGUAAGAUUAUCUACAACAGGACUAAGCAGUGCGCGAAGGAGUGCAAUGAGCAGAAAAUGGAAUUGAUUCCAUUGAAAUGUGAGGAAAAGCCGAAAGGUUGAUUUUAUGUAGAUCCUAAUGCUAAGCUCUCUCUUAUUUAUUAUUCGUAUCCUUGGCAUUAAUGCCAUGCAUCCUAAGACAAGGAGGAUUCUACAGCUAUUGAGAUUGAGACAAACUUUUAAUGGUGUUUUUCUUAAAGUUAAGAAAUCAACAAUGAAAAUGCUGCA